rnacentral:rRNA from 1 species
UGAGCAAUCUGCCCUUCUCAUCGGAAUAAGCGUUGGAAACGACGUCUAAUGCCGAAUACGACCUCCUUUCGCAUGAUCGGAGGUGGAAAGCUCCGGCGGAGAAGGAUGAGCUCGCGGCCUAUCAGCUAGUUGGUGUGGGUAAUGGCCCACCAAGGCGACGACGGGUAGCCGGCCUGAGAGGAUGGCCAGCCACAUUGGGACUGAGACACGGCCCAGACCUCUACGGGAGG